rfam:Cricetulus griseus cell line CHO-K1, whole genome shotgun sequence.
AUAAAGGCCCUUUUCAGGGCCACCCACCAUAUCAAAAAGAGAGUUU